CAACUCUCCCCAAAAAUCCCCACCUCACUAGAUUUCCUUCUUACCAAACAAGCGGCGCAAACAAACCAUUUUCUCCGCUUGCACAAAACAGAAAGAAACUUCUGUUUUUGAAACUUGAGCUGAAAACACACAGUUCACAUACAAAAAAAAAAAAAACGCAAUGAGGGCCCUCAGCUUCGCCGAGAAAUUUCUCUGUUGAAGGGCGAGUCUGUGUGUUAUUCGUGUCUGGUGGAGCAUGAAAGAAUUCUGAGUGGGAAAAAAGGUGGAAGGAAAACCCGGUUUUGUCCCUCGGGAAACUAGCAAUGAAUCAGCCGUUACACACAGUGGAGGUGUGAGGCCAUUUGGAGGGUCUGAAAAAGGGAAAAACUUUGAAACAAAACCGGGUUUUUUUUCUUGCGGUCUUUUCAUCUGUGGAUCAUUGGGUUUAAUGGGUUUCGGCUGUUUUCUUUGAAUAGCGGUGAUGAAACCAAUGCAGGCUGAAAAUUUUUCAGUUCAGUUGCAGUUUCUGGAAAAAAGUUGAACUGCCAAAACAUUUGGAGCUUUAUCUGAGUUCAUAUGCUUUUGCAUGUGAUUAAGAGAUAAGAUCUGAUAGUUAUUUUGGCUUGGAUUGUCAUGGGUAUUAUUCUCAAGAAAACAUGUGAGAUGUUCAGAUAAAGAAACACCAGUGUGAACACGUGUAUACCUUUGAUGGAUUGAUGAAUAAAUUGAUUGGAUGAAAUGUUUAGGAGAUUAGCAUCUGGGCUGUUGAUCUCAUCACUUCUGAUAUCUCUCUCAGCUGCUGAUAAUGGAUUUUCCAAUUGUAACUGUGACGAGGGGGGAUUUUGGAGUACUGAGAACAUUUUGGAUAUUCAGAAAGUCAGUGAUUUUUUAAUUGCAGUGGCCUACUUUUCUAUUCCAAUUGAGAUCCUGUACUUUGUUAGCUGCACUAAUGUCCCAUUUAAGUUGGUGCUUCUUGAAUUUGUUGCCUUCAUCGUCCUGUGUGGGAUGACUCAUUUGCUCAAUGGAUGGACUUAUGGCCCACACCCUUUCCAACUUAUGCUUGCACUCACCAUCUUUAAAACGCUCACAGCUCUGGUCUCAGUAGCUACUGCUAUAACUCUAAUCUCAAUUAUUCCCUUUCUGCUCAAAAUCAAAGUCAGAGAAAUCUUGUUGAGGAGAAAGACCUGGGAUCUUGGUCGGCAAGUAGGAAUGAUAAAGAAGCAGAAAGAAGCUGGCCUGCAUGUUCGGAUGCUCACCCAAGAGAUUCGCAAAUCACUUGAUCGGCAUACAAUAUUAGACACAACUUUAGUUGAGCUUUCUAAGACACUGGAUUUAGAAAAUUGUGCUAUCUGGAUGCCUAAUGAUAAUAAAACAGAAAUGAAUCUGAUUCAUGAGUCGAUAAGGAGGAAUUCUUCAGACAUGAAUGAGUUAUGUAUUCCAACCAGUGACCCUGAUGUAAGAGAGAUUAAAGGAAGUGAUGGUGUGAAGAUUCUUGAGUCUGACUCACCGCUUGCUGUUGCAAGCAGCGGAGGGAAUGGUGAACCAGGAGCUGUUGCUGCAAUCAGGAUGCCAAUGCUUAGAGUUUCCAAUUUUAAGGGUGGCACUCCGGAGAUGGUUCCUGCAUGUUAUGCAAUUCUGGUUUUAGUUCUUCCUGGCAGUCAGGGCAGAUCUUGGUCCAUUCAGGAACUCGAGAUAGUAAAGGUGGUUGCUGAUCAGGUUGCGGUGGCUAUUUCCCAUGCUGCAGUGCUUGAAGAGUCUCAGCACAUGAGAGAAAAGUUGGAGGAGCAAAACCGAGCAUUGCAACAAGCAAAACAGGAUGCUUUGUUGGCAAGCCAAACAAGGAAUGCAUUUCAGAUGGUAAUGAGCAGUGGACUGAGAAGACCAAUGCACUCAAUUUUAGGCUUACUCUCCAUGAUGCAAGAAGAGAACCUCAGUUCUGAGCAACAACUUUUGGUUGAUGCUAUGGUCAAGACGAGCAAUGUGCUUUCAACCUUGAUAAAUGAUGUGAUGGAUACUUCAACAAAAGACAAUGGGAGAUUCCCACUUGAGACAAAGUCUUUUUCACUUCAUGCAAUGAUAAAAGUAGCUGCUUGUCUAGCCAAAUGCCUAUGCAUGUACAAAGGUUUCAAUUUUGCCAUGGAAGUUGAUAAAUCCUUGCCUAAUCAUGUGAUGGGGGAUGAGAGAAGGGUUUUUCAGGUAAUCUUCCACAUGGUUGGGAGUCUUUUAAACAGCAGCAAUGGAGGAGGUUGUCUGGUCUUUCGAGUUCUCUCAGCUAGUGGGAGUCAGGCAAGAAAUCAAGGAUGGGGACCUUGGAGAUCAAGCUCAUCUGAUGGGUAUACUUACAUUAAAUUUGAUGUUGGGAUAUGCAAAGAUGAUUCAGAUUUUGAGAGCAUGCCUUCAACGGUAUCACCGGGCCGUCAGAGAUACAACAGUGGUAUACCUGAGGAAGGCUUGAGUUUCAGUGUAUGCAGAAAGCUAGUUCAGUUAUGGUGGCAGCUAAUGCAAGGAGAUAUAUGGGUAGUCCCCAAUUCGGAAGGUUUCAAGCAUAGUUUGGCACUUAUUCUUCGGUUUCAGAAACAGACAUCGACUGUAGUCAGCAUAUCUGAACAAGGGCAGUCUUCAGAUCAUCGUUAUUCCAACUCCUUCAGGGGCCUCAGAGUACUUUUAGCUGAUGACGAUGAUAUGAAUAGGGCAGUUACUCGAAGGUUGCUUGAGAAACUAGGAUGCAAUGUUUCUGCAGUAUCUUCAGGAUAUGAAUGUCUUAGUGCUCUUGGGCCUGCUGUAUCUGCAAUCCAAAUUGUUCUUGUGGAUCUUCACAUGCCUGACAUGAAUGGAUUUGAAGUGACCAUGAAAAUUAGAAAGUUCUGCAGCCGCAACUGGCCAUUGAUCAUUGCCCUAACAGCAAGUGAUGAUGAAGAUAGGUGGGAGAAAUGCUUUCAGGUUGGGAUGAAUGGAGUUAUCCGAAAACCAGUUCUCUUGCAAGGAAUUGCAGACGAACUUCGACGGGUCUUGCUACAAGCAAGCAGAGUUCCAUAGUACCGGUAUUGCACUUCUACAGCCUGUGAUGCAGCCACUCCUGUUAUGAGUGUAUUGCUGUGGAAUUUGGUCGAAGUAAGCAAACAAAUUUGCUUCUAUAGCAAAAAUCAAGGGUACAGAGAUGUUAUACACAACAUGCAAUAUAAUUAUGCUCUCAUCAUGCUCCCACAGUGUCGAACCAGUAUAUCACACCAUCACUGCAGACCCUUUAUUAUCUUAUUCUUGCUAUGCAAUAAUUCACUACAACGUAUUGCAUUUUGGGAUUCUGGGAUAGUCUCUGCACAUUUUCUUGGAUAACUUGCUCCCUCCACACGGCUGAUCUUCACGUCUUAUCUUGUUGUUGAUAUUGUCUGAUACCAUACCCAUAUCUUUCUCCAUACUCCCUCAGUGUCUGUCCUUUUCAGCUAAUCCCACGGGGAUGUCAAGCUGGCUUGGCUGAUCACAUAUGAAAUUUGAUCCUAUGCUGCUGUAUCCAACCCUGCAACCCUUUAUUCUUCACCACUAGAUGGUCAAAGUUUUGAGAGCAUGGGAGAUCACGCCUGCUUUCUUGUCAAAAUACUUAGAUUAGCAAGAAGGUGUUCAAAGGACAGGAUUUCUUGCAGAAACCAGUUGUUUAGCAGAUAAAUAACCGUGUAUUGGGUGAUGCAAGCAAUGAGGAGAUCGUUCCAAAACUAUUCAAGGAUUCGAUUAAGACUUGACCUCAAAGAAAAUGACUUGGAUUUUAAUUAAAGGGAUGACUAUAAGGUAAUGAUUUGUUAUCUGGCAAGAGGACCAAGAAAAUCCACUUACUUGUACAGGUGAAAGUUUUGUGCCAAGGGGUCUGUAUGUUGAUUUUUUUAAAGCUAGUAGAUAAACUAUUGCAGUCUUUUCACGGCAUGGAAUUGCAUGAAAGGAAUCUCAGAAAUUUCUCCAAUUCAUAAACAAAAGCAACUUGAGAAGACUAGAGGGCCUGCA